CCUACGGGUGGCAGCAGUGGGGGAUAUUGCACAAUGGGGGGAACCCUGAUGCAGCGACGCCGCGUGGGUGAAGAAGCGCCUCGGCGCGUAAAGCCCUGUCAGCAGGGAAGAAAAUGACGGUACCUGUAGCAGAAGCCCCGGCUAACUACGUGCCAGCAGCCGCGGUAAUACGUAGGGGGCAAGCGUUAUCCGGAUUUACUGGGUGUAAGGGGGGCGCAGACGGCGAUGCAAGCCAGGAGUGAAAGCCCGGGGCCCAACCCCGGGACUGCCCUUGGAACGGGGUGGCUGGAGUGCAGGAGGGGCAGGCGGAAUUCCUGGUGUAGCGGUGAAAUGCGUAGAUAUCAGGAGGAACACCGGUGGCGAAGGCGGCCUGCUGGACUGCAACUGACGUUGAGGCCCGAAAGCGUGGGGAGCAAACAGGAUUAGAUACCCUAGUAGUC
rnacentral:rRNA from 1 species